GCUAUAGCUCAGUGGUAGAGCCUCUGCCUUGUGUUCAGAAGGUCCCAGGUUCAAUGCUCAGCACCUCCAGGUAGGGCU